rnacentral:tRNA from 1 species
AAGGUUUUAGCUUAAUAAAAGUGUCUGAGUUGCAUUCAGGAGAUGUGAGUUAGUGUUUCACAAGUCUU